CCCUUAGAUGUUCUGGGCUGCACGCGCGCUACACUGAUGCAUGCAACGAGUUUUCGACCUUGCCUGAAAAGGUUGGGUAAUCUGUUUAACAUGUGUCGUGAUGGGGAUAGACCAUUGCAAUUAUUGAUCUUCAACGAGGAAUUCCUAGUAAGCGCGAGUCAUCAGCUCGUGCUGAUUAUGUCCCUGCCCUUUGUACACACCGCCCGUCGCUCCUACCGAUUGAGUGGUCCGGUGAGGCUUUGGGAUCUAAGCGAAAAGAGCGUUUCGCUCCUUUUGCUGGGAGAACUCAGUCGAACCUUAUCAUUUAGAGGAAGGAGAAGUCGUAACA
rnacentral:rRNA from 1 species